UUGCCCUUUCCAUUCUCUUUCUUCUGUUUAAAAUUUUCUAAUUUCCAGCUUAGGGAUUCGAUCACCUGUUCUGAGCUUGUUCCACGAUUCUACUCUAUUUGUGAUUUUUUUUUGUGUAGAUAAAUGCAUUGCUUUCAAUCAUUCAUCUUAGUAUUUUUCGUUCUUAUACAAUGUGCGAAACACUUGGAUUUCAAUUUUAUAUAUAUAGCUUGAAGAGGCUUUCUGAAACUUUUUCAGUUUCACCAUUGUAACACUGGUUUAAUCUAUUUCCUCUCAUAUUGUAUGCAUGUUUGUUUAUUCUGUUUGGUUAAUUAUUUUUGGAACCCUAGAAUUGCACAUUCUUCAUUAAUCAGUGUUCUAGCAAUACAGUGAAAUUCGUUGAACUCUUAUAAAUAUAGAAUUGAAUUGAACUUCUAGAUUGUGGCUUCUCUUAAUCACUUAUUGCAGCAGAUAGAUUUAUCUAUGCAGAAAUUGUAUUAUUAGGAUUAUUUAUUGCAGUAUUAUUCUCUCUUCUGUGAUUUGGAAGUUGUAGAAGUAGUUAGGUGAUAUGUUAAGAUAGAAUAUUGGAAGGUUACUUUUUUUUCUCCUUCUGUUUUAUGACCUUCUUUUCAGCUUAAAUAUUAAUGGAAAAUAAAAUUAACUUUGUCUAUGACCUACUUGGCUGAGGAGUGAGGAGCAGAUACUCCGGGAUGAUAUCAAGUUUGGUGGAAAAGCCCAAACAGCUUUUCAUGAAAGAUAUCAGGAUGCUGCCCAAGUAUAAUGUCACUACCACGUUAAGGUCUCAGGACAAACCUCUGGCUGCAUGGUUAUUUACACAGGUUGUAGAGGUAGUGCAAGCUGUAAGAUGACCAAUGCUAGGGGGAAGUUAAAUACCCAAUCAAGGCUCUUGACACCUUCAACACUGCAGUAGUUUCUCCUAUAUACUAUGUCAUGUUCACAACACUUACAAUCCUAGCUAGUGUGAUAAUGUUCAAGUCUGCCAGUUGAGAAAUGAAGUUAAUAAACUGGAGGAAAGGCUUGGAGUUACUGAUGAUCAUCUCAAACAAAAGAAUCUGAAAAUCAAGAAACUGACAGAUGAAAAGAAAUGUGCAUUGGCUACACAAUAUGCGGCAGAAGCAGCUCUUAGAAGGGUACAUGCAAAUCAAAAGGAUGAUGAUAUUCUCCCAAAUGACAGCAUCAUUACUCCAUUUGAAGCUGAGAUUAAAAUAUACAAGAAUGAGUUACAAAUAAUGUAACUCCCAGCAAGGAUGCAUUUGUCAAAUAAUUAAUUAAUUUAAUGUAACUUCUUCCUCUUUAUAUGAUGCUAUAAGAACAAUAUACUGAGUAUAUGUUUUGAAUUAUAGUUGAUGUAUCAACACAUUUUGUUGAUGUAUAGUUAUUUAUUAUUAUAGUUGAUGUAUCAAUACAUUUUGUUUAUUUUUUGAA